rnacentral:tRNA from 1 species
AGGUCCGUAGCUCAACAGGUAGAGCAUCGGAUUCCAAAUCCGAAGGUUGCAGGUUCGAGUCCUGCCGGACCUACCC